GACGAACGCUGGCGGCGUGGAUUAGGCAUGCAAGUCGAGCGACGGCCCCUCGGGGCACGGAGCGGCGAACGGGUGAGUAACACGUGAACAAUCUGUCCUCACGUUCCGGAUAGCGCACCGAAAGGUGCAGUAAUACGGGAUCGGGUUCUCGGAAGGCAUCUUCUGGGAAAGGAACACGCAAGUGGUGCGAGGAGGAGUUCGCGACCUAUCAGCUAGUUGGAGGGGUAACGGCCCACCAAGGCAACGACGGGUAGCUGGUCUGAGAGGAUGGUCAGCCACAUUGGGACUGAGACACUGCCCAGACUCCUACGGGAGGCUGCAGUCGAGAAUCUUGCACAAUGCACGAAAGUGUGGUGCAGCGACGCCGCGUGGAGGAAGAAGGCCCUUGGGUCGUAAACUCCUUUUACUCGGGAAGAUAAUGACGGUACCGGGUGAAUAAGCCACGGCUAACUACGUGCCAGCAGCCGCGGUAAUACGUAGGUGGCAAGCGUUGUCCGGAUUUACUGGGUGUAAAGGGUGCGCAGGCGGGCCUCUAAGUAAGAAGUGAAAGGUUUGAGCUCAACUCGGACACUGCUUCUUAUACUGGGGGCCUUGAGGCUCGGAGGGGAAGGCGGAACGACACGUGUAGCGGUGAAAUGCGUUGAUAUGUGUCGGAACACCAAUGGCGAAAGCAGCUUUCUGGACGAGUACUGACGCUCAGGCACGAAAGCCAAGGUAGCAAACAGGAUUAGAUACCCUGGUAGUCUUGGCCAUAAACGAUGAUCACUAGGUGUCGGGGGUAACCUCGGUGCCGCCGCUAACGCAUUAAGUGAUCCACCUGGGGACUACGGCCGCAAGGUUGAAACUCAAAGGAAUUGGCGGGGGCCCGCACAAGCGGUGGAGCAUGUGGCUUAAUUCGAUGCAACGCGAAGAACCUUACCCAGGCUUGACAUGCACCUGCAAGCUCCCGAAACGGAGCCGCCCUUGAGGGUGGUGCACAGGUGGUGCAUGGCUGUCGUCAGCUCGUGUUGUGAAAUGUUGGGUUAAGUCCCGCAACGAGCGCAACCCUCACGUUUUGUUACCAGCGGGUAAAGCCGGGGACUCGAGACGAACUGCCUCUGUAAAGAGGAGGAAGGUGGGGAUGACGUCAAGUCAUCAUGCCCCUUACGCCCGGGGCUGCACACAUGCUACAAUGGCCGGUACAAAGGGUUGCUAACUCGCAAGAGGGUGCUAAUCUCCAAAAGCCGGUCUCAGUUCGGAUUGGGGUCUGCAACUCGACCCCAUGAAGCUGGAAUCGCUAGUAAACGCCGGUCAGCCAUACGGCGUUGAAUACGUUCCCGGGCCU
rnacentral:rRNA from 1 species